ensembl:lncRNA
CCUUGUAUUUCUAUUUCUAUCCCUGAGCACAGAAUCAGUAUUUAACAUGUAAUUGUUGAUUGAUCAACUAAUUAGAGGUGUUAGAUUUGAUGAAAAGAAGGUCCACCCUUAAUCGUUAUUGUUCAUCCUUUGUUUCCAAAGAGUGGACCUCUAUGACAUCAUAGAAUAGCUUAACUUGCACCUGAACUAGAUUUAAGUGAGGCAGAGCUGCACAAAGUCAUCAGCCUCAUCCUCUAGUCCAGAGUCAUCCAAUCCCAGUGGCAAAACAAAAGCCAGGACCACAGCCAAUGAUCCGGGAUUCCGUGGAUGACUUUGGUGUCCUUAAUGUUUGACCAAGCUCUAAGUGUUCCACAGGGACCUUCACGCCACUGGAACAAAUUGUUCUCAUUCAUCCAUUCUGCUGGGGUUCUGGGACACUGAUUUUAAACAGCUCUAACUUCCUGAUUCUACAAGUCUUCUUCCCUGAUUAAUUUCCUCUACCGCUGGUUACUCCUUUAUUGAGUACCUUUACAAAGAAGAAGUAUGGGAAGAGAAUUUGCAUUUAUAUGGCAACUAUUAUAUGUCAGACACUAAGCUAAGUGUUGUUUUUUUUUUUUUACAAUUAUCUCACAAUACCCCUGUGAGAUUCCGGGAUCUUCCCUCAAGAGUAAAGAGAGAGAGUCUCUUUCAGAAAAGUGGCUGCAGGAUGGCUGUAAAGGUCAUAGCUCCAGGUCAGUGAUUCUCCCCAGAUGAACUAAUUGGAGAGUCUGAGAGAGGAGGGGUUGGGAAGAAGGGGUCAAGGAUACUUCUUUCCUCUCUGACCUCCUGUGACCCAUCUCUUUCCCUUCACAGAAGGGGGAAAUGGUGUUAAAUACUUUCCAUAUUUUGAUUCAGAUCUUUGUUAUUCAUAAAUCAUCAGGGUUUGUUGGUUCUUUUUAGAAAAAAAAAUCGUUACCUUUUCUUAAUAGCAACUCUAAGACAGAAGGGCAAGAACCCCCCUCCCCCCCCAUCAGGUUCACACAGCUAGGAAGUGUCUGAGGUCAAAUUUGAACCCAGCAUAAAUCCUUGUUUAUAUUUUUUCCCCCUGUACUUUCUGGUACUAUGAAAUGAGCAUUGGACUUGUUAUUUAUUUUUUUAAAACCCUCACCUUCUCUCUUAGAAUCAAUACUGUAUAUUGGUUCCAAGGCAGAAGAGUGGUAAAGGCUAGGCAAUGGGGGUGAAGUGACUUGUCCAGGGUCACACAGCUAGGAAGUAUCUGAGAUCAAACUUGAACCCAGGACCUCCCAUCUCUGGAUCUGGCUCUCAAUCCACUGAGCCACCUAGCUGCCCUGUGAGCACUGGAUUUAGGCAGAAGAUUUGGGUUGAAAUCCUGAUUUUGCUACUUGCUACAGGUGUGACCUUGGACAAGUCACUUGAUCUCUGUGGACCUCCGCUUCAUCAUCUGUAAAAUAAGGGAAUUGAACCAAAUAACCUCCAGGUCUAGGAUCCUAGUACCACAAUAUUGUAAGGAUUAAGGGCUUCCGUGUCAGGUCAAUAGCCAAUGGAUCCAUAACACAUAGGGCACCAACAAUGCACAGAACCUGUCUUUUGGUUUACUCUCCUGACAUCCCAAAAGGUUUCUUUUGAGGGAACGGAAGCAUCCCGUCAGGUUGCUGGACAUGUCACCGGGCAUCCUUAUGACUCCGGGCUGGAGGAGGCAGCAGGACACCACUGCUCCCAGCUCUUAGCCAGGGCUCUUC